rnacentral:rRNA from 1 species
UACGAAGGGGGCUAGCGUUGCUCGGAUUGACUGGGCGUAAAGGGCGCGUAGGCGGUUCGUACAGUCAGACGUGAAAUUCCUGGGCUCAACCUGGGGGCUGCGUUUGAUACGUGCGGACUUGAGUGCGGAAGAGGGUCGUGGAAUUCCCAGUGUAGAGGUGAAAUUCGUAGAUAUUGGGAAGAACACCGGUGGCGAAGGCGGCGACCUGGUCCGAUACUGACGCCGAGGCGCGAGAGCGUGGGGAGCGAACCGG